CAGUAGCCGCGGUAAUACGAAGGGGGCUAGCGUUGCUCGGAAUCACUGGGCGUAAAGGGUGCGUAGGCGGGUCUUUAAGUCAGGGGUGAAAUCCUGGAGCUCAACUCCAGAACUGCCUUUGAUACUGAAGAUCUUGAGUUCGGGAGAGGUGAGUGGAACUGCGAGUGUAGAGGUGAAAUUCGUAGAUAUUCGCAAGAACACCAGUGGCGAAGGCGGCUCACUGGCCCGAUACUGACGCUGAGGUGCGAAAGCGUGGGGAGCAAACAGGAUUAGAUACCCCAGUAGUCCCUGUCUCUUAUAC
rnacentral:rRNA from 1 species